CUUCCUGGUUUCCUCAUGAUAUUUUAAGCAAUUUGAGUUCAGGAUUAAAUCUUCUUUAUCUUUGCAUUUUCAGAAACUAGCACAAUACCCUUCACAUUAUAGGUGUUCAUUGAAGGGAGAAUUGAUCAAUUCUACUCAGAAGAGUCUGGUUUUAGACCACUUUCUACUUUUUUUUUUCCACCUCAUUCUUUGCAAGCUCCCACAUCAGAACUUAAUACUUAUUCAUGGUGUCUGCAUGAGUUUCUUGGGACAUUUCUACUUACCCACACCUUCCUGCUGUUGUUAAAUAGGAGGCUACGUUCCAGAGGCAACAUUAUACAGUUUCCAUCAUCAACAUUUGCAAAAGCUUGUUUUCAGUGCUGCCUUGUCCUAGGAACAGAGUGGAUGCUUGUCUGGGGAAGGAGUACACAUUUCCUUCACCCUCAAGACCUCUAAAUCUAAACAGGGUCUCAAAUUCCUGGCCUCAAGUGAUCCUCC